AGCAUCGAAGAACCCUAGAAUUUUGGGUUUGCGUUUGAUUUUUUUUGUAGAAUUUGUACUCAUUCUAUGCUUUUCUCUUCUAAAAUUUACAGAAAUCUCAGUUUCUCCGCAGAUUCCACUCCGUUUCGUCUUUGUCUUUGAUCGUUCGGAGUGUUUAGAGAUCACUUACGAUGCAGAGAUAUGUUUAGAGAGAACAGUAGCUACGCUUAAGCUUUGGGUAUUCACUAGUUGGGGAUUUCUGUGGGCAAUGGCAUUGAGUAUUUCUGGUUCUGCAUUUGAUCUUUUUGUGACUCUUUACGCCUCUGGACUGGAAUUUGGAGAGAUUGGAAUGAAUGGUGUUAGAAAAUCACUUACAGCUGCAGGGAUAUGUUUAGAGAGAACAGUAGCUACGCUUAAGCUUUGGGUAUUCCCUAGUUGGGGAUUUCUGUGGGCAAUGGCAUUGAGUAUUUCUGGUUCUGCAUUUGAUCUUUUUGUGACUCUUUACGCCUCUGGAUUGGAGUUUGAAGAGAUUGGAAUGAAUGGUGUUAGAAGAUCACUUACAGUUGCAGGGAUAUGUUUAGAGAAAACAGUAGCUACGCUUAAGCUUUGGAGAUUUCUGUUGACAAUGGCAUUGAGUGUUUAUGGUUCUGCAUUUGAUCUUUUUGUAUGUUUAAUGAUGUCAUAUAUGUAUAUUUAUUAACGAGCGCAAGGGAUGCAUAAAUGGUUAGUGAUGUUUUAUGA